GAGGCAAACACGAUACACUAAUAUAAUUUAGCAAUAUAUACUAUUAAUUAUAUUUUUUAUAAAGGGCUUUUACAAUUUCAUAAGUGUUAAAACUAAUAUUUAAUAAUUUAAUGGAGAGCAUGGACUUUACAUGCUAUAAAUAGAUCAAAUCAUAUUCUUGUUUUUACUAACAAAUCGAAAAAAAUAUGGCUAAAAUUCUCAUGUUUUUAUAUAUUUUGAUUUUAUCUUGUUGCUUAUUUCUUGUCUCAUCACAUCUUAGGGGAGCACCUAUUAAAUGUGAAGCUGAUGUUGAUUGUCCAACAUCUUCGAUAAGCUAUAUGCGUAUUCAGUGCAUUGAUAAUUUUUGUAGUUUUGUUAUUCGGCUUAAUUGAUUCUAUAAGUAUUAGAUCUAGGAGAAUACCAAAAUAUGUGCUAUAAAAGAGAAUGAGUUAUCAUACUAGAAAAAUAUAUAUGUAAUAUAACUUAUGAUAAUCAAUCCUUAGUUGCUUUAGUGGUGAUUGGCGCUGAACUUGGUAGGGAGGACCACGGUUCGAUCCUGACUCCUGAAUCAGACUAAAUUGGUGGUGAUAAACCAAAAAAAUAUAUAUGUAAUAUAACUUAUGAUAAAAUAUUCCAUAAGUUUUCGUUACGUUGAAUUUAUGACUUUGUAAUCUAAGAUGAUGGUAAGAAAACAAAGAGUAUAAUUCAA